UGAGGAAUAUUGCGCAAUGGUCGCAAGACUGACGCAGCAACGCCGCGUGAGGGAUGAAGUACUUCGGUAUGUAAACCUCUGUUAGAAGGGAAGAACGGGUGGAUGUCGAACAGGCAUUCAUCGUGACGGUACCUUCAGAGAAAGCCCCGGCUAACUCCGUGCCAGCAGCCGCGGUAAUACGGGGGGGGCAAGCGUUGUCCGGAAUUAUUGGGCGUAAAGGGCGCGUAGGUGGGACAGCAAGUCUGGGGUGCAAUCUUACGGCUUAACGGUAAGGUAGCCCUGGAUACUACUGUUCUUGAGUUCGGAAGAGGGUAGUGGAAUUCCUGGUGUAGCGGUGAAAGGCGUAGAUAUCAGGAAGAACACCGGUGGCGAAGGCGGCUACCUGGUCCGAUACUGACACUGAGGCGCGACAGUGCGGGGAGCAAACAG
rnacentral:rRNA from 1 species